rnacentral:lncRNA from 1 species
UACAGACUGUCAUGUGGGAUCAUCUGUAAACUUACCAGAACACUAGAAGGAAGGCAUUGCUGAUCUAUUUUAUAGGCAACCAGACUGGUGCUCAGAGACCAAUGGAACUGGCCCAAGGUACAUGGUAAACAGAGUUGGGUAUUGGAAGCUCUAUGCUGCUAUGUCCCAGAUCUGUAAAAGGCUCUGUAAAUGACACUCAGGAGGGAUUCUGUACUAUGAGCUGAGUGGUUUUUAUACUUCUACCUUUUGCUUGUUGUCUAUCCUUCUUUGAGACAGGAUUUCUCCAUAUAGCCCUGGCUGUCCUAGAACUAACUAUGUAGACCAGGCUGGUCUUGAACUCAAGAGAUCUGCCUGAUUCUGCCUUCCUCCAGUGCUGGGAUUAACCACCCUGCCUGGCAGCUUUUAUACUUCUAAAUGGUUGUAAAACUAGCCCAAAGAAAAGUUCUGUUCCAUGACAUGUGAAAGUACAUGAAAUUCAAGUGCCAUUGUCCCUAAAUGUAGUUUCAUUGAGGUACAACCACAUCAAUUCAUUUGCAUGCAUCUGUGAUCACAGACCUGAGAAAAUGUAAGGUUUCUGUAUCCAGUAUCUCACUCUUGCUGCCAGUGGAAGGUGGAUAACAGAGGGACAGACUAGAUGUGGUGUCAUCAGUGAAGCCAUUGCAAGCAUCCAUGUUGGAGUUUCUUAGUGUGCCUGCCAAUGUGAUAAACAUAUGUAAGGAAUUGCUAAGGAGGCCAAGUUGACUAUGUUUGGCAAGGGAUAUUGGGGGGACCAGAAAGUUGGGGAUACCACAUGCUGAGAUAUGAGAGAAAGGAAAGCCCUGGUGGGGUAGAGACCACAUGAGAAGGAUGGUGAGUUUGACUACAAUUUGUUUUGGAAGAAGGCAAGGGGGUCUACCAGAUGUUCACUGGAUUUGUUUAUGGAACUCAAAGUAGGAACUCUGAAACUCACCGAAUCUGUAGGGACCUGGCCUGGGCCUGCUUGUCCCUGUCUUUUUGCUCCUGCAUCAAGACAUUCAGCUGUUACAUCCCGUUCCACAGUCCAGGCCUACAGUGUCUUCUUUCUCAACUAGAAGCACCUUGCCUUCUGGGGACCCUGCAGCUCUCAGCCCUCUCUUGUCCCCAGGCUCUUUGUCCUCUCAGUCCCAGCUGACAACAGGUUUGACCUUCUUCCUGUGCGUCUCCUUAUGCAGACCACAGCUGUCUGAAGACUACCUGUCUCCCAGCAUUUUAAUAAUCUGUCUCUGCCUUCCGGCACCCAGUCCAGCUACCUAGCACAAGGGUAGUGGAAGUAGGUAAAUAGUCUCCCAGCCCACGUGGGUUCAUUAUGUGUUUACAGACUUUACAUAAAAAGGAUUCUUUGAGGCUCACUUUGUUGAUGCCCGCCCCAGUGGUAGCUUGACUAUUGCCUAUCUGUUGGCCCCUUUCAGAUGGUCACAGGGGUGUUGUGCUGUUUGUAGAGAAUGACCAUGGGCACUACUGCUGGACCCUGGUCAGCAGCAGGUACUAAGUGCCAAGAGAAUAUGGCAGGGCACAGUAGAGCAUGGAAAAUGGACCCCCAGGAGAACCUGGUUUCCUGUGAUGAGUGUAUUAGAGGGUAUAUGCAUAAGCUGGAGGUUGACCAUACUUGGACGAAGGGGGAGGGGGGCAUGAAUUUGCAAGGUUUCCCUCUCACAAUGAGCAGGGUCCUGGCCAUGAGAGGGCAGCGACUUGUUUAGAAAAGUAAUGUCUUCAUUGACCACUUAUCUCUCAGCAUGAGACUUGGAGAAUUUAGGUAUAAUGCAAAGUGUAAGUGAUUCUUCCAGAAGGGCUCUUUUAAACCCUCUAAAUUGCACAAAGCCCUGAAAAGGCACACUGAGAAAUUCCACUCGGAAGAGCCAGUCUUGUCCUCUUACAUUCAGCAGAGGAGGCUAGGUACCAAAAGUUAUAGACUCUAGCAUCUGUGUCAAUGGAUAUGAAGAAAGCAAUGGAUACGUUGGGUGCCUGCAGCACUUGGCUAUUUCCCAUAAUGUGUCUGGGGCGCCUGCCUUUGUUAAACUGUUAGCAUUGUUGCUGAUUUGGCUGAGGUACUUUAACUUCCUCCUCAACGCCUAGAAUUCUCUUCAGGUUUUCCACUUUGAGUUUGCGCGAAAGCACCGACACUUCGUAUACAGUGUUUUCCAGAGGACUGUUGGACAGACACCACCCCCUGCCUACUGCUGUCAUGAUGGCCCUCCAACGGAGCCCACAGUACGCCAGGCUCCCCUCAGGGCAGGGGCUGCCGAGAGGAGUGCACUGGAGGCUGGUGAGGCCAUGGAAGGCCAGGGCUUCUUCAGCAGAUGCCUCUAGCCACCUGGAGCCUAGACACUUUUAUGCUCUAAAAGCCUAGGAAGGACAUAUGAAACUUCUCUCCUUACCAUAAACGCCACCGCUUCUUCCCCAACAGCUCCCUGUAAAAACUCUCAGACCAGCUGUCAAUUUUCACUUUCUUAUCUUAUAGGCACGAAAGCAAAAGGGACCCAGUGACCACCAUAAAGUCAAAUGGUAAGAAAUAGACACAAAUUUUCAUUUCUCAUCUUGACCAAAAGAGUUGUGUUGGCUAUUUGUCUUCUGUGUCUUUGUGUGAGGACUCUGCCAUGUCCUGUCAGCCUAGGGACAGCCUGCAUAGCUGCCCGUGAACAGGACCUUCAGGGAAAGGACCAUGAAGGUGCAGGUUGCUUGGCAUUGACUGUCAGAAUCGGUGCACUCUGCCUACUGAACACUGUGAAGAAUAUAGCAUGAAGUAUGUAAAUUUGUGCAGGUGACACAGUGCUGCUAGACUGUUCAGUACUCUGACCAAAUAUUUGCUUUGCUGUUUUGAAAAUCCUACAUAUGAAUGUAAAAGUUAACAAGCCAUGUUCUUUUCUCUUCCAGCCUUCUGGGGGGAGUCUGAUGACAGUAACUCUGAAAUCGAAGCUGCCCUACGUCCUAGAGACCAUGACAUGCCCGAUGAUUUUGAUGAUUUUUAUGACACAUGAGCUGUUGCAUGCUUAGAAAUAAAGUCUUUAAAACAAAGCGUCACUGUAAUUAGGUGUAAUUCCCAACAUAAACAUAUCCUUCUAAGUUUGCUAGUUGUCAAAGGGGAAAACAGACUACAACACUUGCCUAGCAUGAGGGGGUCGGGGUGUUGAUCCCUAGCACCAGGGAGCCCUGUGAGGAGCCAGUGUGAUGCACAUGGCAGCAGUAGGAUGGUGAGUUCCAGGCCAUCCUGAGCUAUUUAGCCAGAGUCUGUCAGCCCAACACUUGGGAGGUAGAGCAGGAGGAGCAGAAGUUCCAGGCCAGUGUCAACUACGGAAGACCCUCUGGUAAGUUGAGUGAGAAUGGCUCCCAUAGGCAUACAUAUUUGAAUGCUCAGUCACGAGUUGGUGGAGCUGUCUGGGAAAGGCUGAGAGGUGUGGUCUUGUUGGAGGAGGUGUGUCACUCCGGGUGCCAUUUGAGUUUUCACAAGCCCAUGCCUUUCCCAGUUAGCUUGGUCUCUUUCUCUGUUUCAUGGUUGUUAUCUCAACAGGUAAGCUUUCAGCUACUGCUCCAGCACCGUGUCUGCCAGUUGGCUUCCAUGCUGCCAGGCAUGAUGGUCAUAAACUCUAUUACCCUUUGGAACCACGAGCACCAAAUUAAAUGCUUUCUUUUACAAGUU